rnacentral:lncRNA from 1 species
CAAGUGAGACUUAAUCAAGAAGGCAUCGGCCUAUGAACAGGAACUAGGCCCUCCCCAAAUACUGAGUCUGCUGCUGCUUCAUCUUGGACCUCCCAGCCUCAAGAAGUGAGAGAAAUAAACUUCUGCUGUUGAUGAUGUUUUGCUAUGGCACCUGGAUCAAACUAAAAUAUCACUUUUGGACAUUAUAUUACUUCCCUUUAUUGAUCACUAAUCUGGAAAUGGGGGGCAGUAAAAACAUCUACUUCUCAGGAUUAUUUUGAAAAGAAAAGGAAGUAGCCUUAAUAAAGGGGUCAACAAGGUCUGGCACAUAGUAGAUGCUCAAUCAACAUCAUGCACCUUGAAGUAGCCUGGAAGCAGGGGAACUUCUUCCAAGAAUGUGGAUGUGGCUGCUGAAAUGGAGACAGGAGAGGGGCACAGUGUGUGGAGACAAAUGGAUUCAUUAUUGAGCUGGUUGUUCUAUGCUGGGUUUCCUGGGUUUUUGUUUUUGUUUUUUUUUUAAUCCAAAAGACAGAGAAAGCGUGAGGGAAAUGCUGGAAAGUAAAUUAAAAUGGGGGAUUGUAUAAUAUAAGGCAGGGAACAGGAAAAUGUUUCCUUUCUUGAGUCUAUGGCUGGGCUGAACUGAUUAGGCCACUCCUUGGCACCCAUGCAAGACUCUGGCUUGGGGUCUAAAGGGGAAGUUAGGCCAUUUUAUUUAAAUGAGUUAUAAAUUAUAGACAAUAAAAUGCAUAUCUCUCAAGGGUU